CGUAGUUAUGCCACAUAAUAGGUCCUAGAUUUCUUGAUUGUUCACUGAGAACCUUGAUAUCUAUGGAAUCCUAGAAUCAUUUUGAAUCUCUAUCCAGCAUCAGGGCUCAUAUUAUGCUUUGUUAUUCCAUCCAUUACACUGAAAUACUGAAAAGUCACAGAUAACUAUUAUCAUCCUAUAUCUCUCAAUUGGAAAUGUUGUGGAAACAACGUUGCAACCUCCAUAGGUGAACCACACAAUUAUUGUUCCUUUCUUUCCAGUAAUAGAGGACAGAUAAUUGGCCUCUAUUGUUUGUUUUGCAUCUAUUUUAAGAUCUCCAUAUAAGAAGAAAAUGUAGGUGCUGGGCAACCUAAAUGGCCCUACAAGCAUGGAAUAAAUAUAGCAAGUACCAUUGAAAGCUUCCUCUGUAGAAGAGCUACGGGCUUCCCAUUGAUGGUUUCAUUAAAUCCUUACAAUAGCACCAUGAGGUAGGUAUGGUUAUUAUAUUCAGUUUUACACAGUAGGAACAAAAGAUUUAGAAAAGUCAAA
ensembl:lincRNA